UUGAUGGUGUCUGGAAGAUCAGAGCAAAUCAAGGCCAUAGUGUGGGUCAAGUUGUGAAAGAUGAAGACCUUUUGCAAAGGAUCACAAGUGAAGCCGGAUUCUCUACCG
rnacentral:rRNA from 1 species